CAGGUGAGCAUUUCGGUGAGAGGUGCUCAGAUAGGACCAGGGUCAGUAGAAGAUGAAGAAGACAGAGGUUCAUGAGAAGGAACGCACUUGCCAAUGAGGAAGUGAGGUGCUUAUUGCAGCCGUCCAAAGGUCUGAACAAGUCCUCAACAAGUAAGACCACUGGACAGUGGCUCCCAACUGCUGUUUACCGGGUGAUUGGAUGCGUCACCGAUCAAAGACAUCGGAAUCAUGUUGGACAUCGCCCGCAUCCAUGCCAAGAUUGUCUUGCUUGUUGAAUUUUGUCUUGCGGGGUUGACAAUUGAUAUGAAAUGUUAUCUUUGCCUUGGAUAAUAAUACUCUGCAUAAAACGUGUAUCGAAUUAAUUUUUGCACGCAGAAAGAAUUUUUUAACGAAACUU